CCUGACCGGUAGAACCGUGGAAGGUGUACUGGAUGACUGAACACAUUCGUUCUCGCUUUGCAAGUUCUCAAUUGCAUUAGGAGGCAGCUUUUUAGAUUGAUCAUCGUCGAAUUCCACAACAGCCAAAGCUAUUUCUCAGUCGGCAAAAUUAACUAUUUGUCAAUAGGAGGUGAAAUGGCAUACAAAAUGCAAUGCCAGCUACUUUGUCAGUGACGGAUUUUCGCUAGUGAGAGUGAUUCCCGCAGAUCAGAGAGAACCCCGCCUCGGCGCCUCCCAACGACCUCGCCACCAGGGAUUCAGAGCGAUACCUCGCGAACCGCAUUGCUGUGCUCAACCAGUCUUCUUUGUCAGUGUCCUGACGUGACACAUCUGGUCACUGACACAGACGCGGCGGCGGCGGCGGUGUAGAGCCGAGAGCGUCGCGGUGGUCCGCAACGUGGGGACGCUGAGGCGGCGUUCGGCGUCGUGGAGGUGGUUGUCGUCGACGUCGGCCGCCGCGACGUCAGCGCCUCCGGCAGCCACGGCACCACCUCGCGCCUCCGCCACUUCGCCUCCCUACCCCUAGCCCGCGCCUACCUCAAGGCAAGCUAUCCCGCCAUUGCUCACCAGACCCCUAAACCCUAGUCCCCUGCCCUCCAUUUGUUUGUGCAGGACGGGAGAGGGUGUGACAUCUGCGGCAUGGAGAUCAUCGACGAUGCGUAGCCGGUUUCCGACAAUGAGUCUGGGCUGACACAAACAUGCAGUACAACAGCACUUAGUCAGAAUGUCUUCCGUGGAAAGUGAAGUUGAACCCAUGCAUAAGGGGAAAACAACUGGAGAUGAAAAUGAGAUGACGUGAAAUUUGUAUAUAUCUUGGAAGUUAUUUUUGGACAGCUUAUAAUAAUUGAGCAUUCAGGAACCACGAAGAUUGCACAUGCAUAAUAAAAGCUUACGAACAAGUAGGUAAACCUGACAAUGCUCUAUUCUUAUUCCAUUGAUGUGGUGAUACAGAUAUUUGCACAAAGCCCAUCUGAAUGCCAGGAUAACAUUCAAAAGGGCCACCUCAAUGGUAAUGAUGUUGUUAGAAGUGCUCUGCAUUGGAAAAAUAAAUAAAGGACAUCAAGUUAUACCCAUUUAAACCCUAAGGCCUUGUUCGUUUUGUGCCAAUCCAUAGGGAUUGAGGGGGAUUAAAUCCCCUACAAGUCAAAAUCCUCCCCAAUCCCUUUCAAUCCCCCUCAAUCCUUAUGGUUUUGGGAUCAAACGAACAUGGCCUAAGGGAUUUCUUCAAUGUACUCCUUGAUUCUGUGUAGCUGAGCAGCAGCAUGUUCCAUGUUCAUUCUUUCUGACGGGUUGUCCUUUGAACAUGAGACACCAACUCGUAUCACAGAAGCUAAGCAACUGAGCAUCUCAGGAUCAUGGUCAUACAGCUCCGCAUUGAAAAGUUCUGGGUCAAUGAUUUCUGAUACCCUGUCAGGUAACCCUGCCUCAGCAAACAAGUGCAGGGUCAAGCCUUCUAUGAACAUGUCAUCAGUUGGUGCUUUCCCGGUGAACAUCUCAAGCAGAGUGACCCCAAAGCUGUAGGCAUCACCAGCAACUGAUGCUUGACCACCUGCUCCAUAUUCUGCAGGAAUGGAAAUAUUAUGACAAGUUGACAAUGCCAUAAACAGAUGAUACAGUAAGGGCACCAAAUCAAGGCAGUUUAUUAAUUGACUAGAAAAAAAAUGUGGUUUCUGAAUGGUGGACGUACCUGGAGGGACGUAUCCAGUGGUUCCUCGUAUCCCAAUAGUGCUUUCAGUCCCAAUAUUCAAAUUUGGUUGGUCCAUGGAUUCACUGAUCAGCUUUGCAAGCCCAAAGUCAGCAACAUAAGCAGUCCAGUCGCUACCAAGGAGGAUGUUGCUAGGCUUCAAAUCACAGUGGAUCACUGUUGGACGGCUACUGUUGUGAAGAUAGUCUAGCGCAUCUGCUACAUCAGUCGCAAUGUCCAACAGUUGGGUUAGACUCAACUUGUGUGUCUCCUCAUCGCUUCUUGGAUGCAGCCACCUGUCCAAGCUGUACCUGGGCAUGAAGUCGAACACUAGAGCUUGGAAGUCAUUCCCUCUAGGGUCUAUACUGGAGCAACAGGUGAUAAUAUUGAUCAAGUUCCUAUGUUUCACUUGCCGUAGCGCCUCACAUUCAGCCAAAAAGCUUCUGGAAGAACCAGGAUGCUGAAGAGUGAACACUUUGACAGCCACUACAGAAUCCCCAACACCUGUGAUAGACAGUCUUCCUUUGUAAACAGAUCCAUAUUUUCCAGCUCCUAUCAGAUUAGCAGGGGCAAAACCAUCCGUCGCUUCAAAGAGCUGGAGAAGGAGCGCAACCAAUAGAAGAGAUAAACAUAUAGCGAUGCCAAUGGCUGGAAGAAAAAUCUUCAGUCGCAACCGCUUCCGGUGGCUGUGUGGCUUGACCUCACACGGAGGCAAUUUCAGCUCUGCAACGCCACCACAAAGCCCAUCAUUUCCAGUUGCAGAAAACCCACUCAUGUUAGCGAACACCCCGUGUGUGGGCACCUCGCUGCCCAGAUGGUUGUAGGAGAGAUCCAGCUCUACAAGAGCGCUCGAGUUCUGGAGGAGCUGUGGAAUGGCUCCAGACAGGUUGUUGUGAGCUAGGCAAAGCCUUUGCAGCCCAUGAAUCUGGCUCAACUCCUGAGGGAUGCUACCGGACAGACCGUUCCUUGUGAAAUUCAGCGUGCUCAAGCCCUUCAGAUUACCAAUCGAUGGAGGGAUGCUCCCAGUGAAGCUAUUGCCAUCCAGAUACAAGUAUACUAGACUUGCACAGUCUCCAAGCGCUCCUGGUACUUCUCCAGAUAAGUUGUUUGUUGACAGAUCCAAUGUUGUCGCAUGCUUGAGGCUACCGAUUUGUGGAGGAAGUACGCCAGAAAGGUAGUUAUGAGAAAGCAGCAAUGAAUCAGCUAGCGACGGGAGGCUGAAUAAUGCUCCGGGGAUCGCACCGGUGAGCCUGUUGAAGGACAAUGCCAUGGACGUUAACCUGCGCAAGCUCCCAAGGUUCUCAGGGAUGGAGCCAUUGAGCCUAUUGUUCGACAGGAAAAGGCUGAGCAGCUGCGUGAGGUUGCCGAAGGAGGUAGGUAUACCUCCUGACAGGAGAUUCUCCUCCAGCGUGAAAAACUUGAGGUUCCGAAGCCUUCCAAUAUCCUCAGGUAUAACACCACGCAGGUUGUUUCCCCCGAAUUCCAGGUCUUCAAGGUGAACGAGGCUUCCGACACCCAGAGGGAUUGAUCCAGACAUCCGGUUCUUCUCCAUGAUCAGAGUAUUCACCGGCCCAGAGAAGUUAGCUACGAAGCGUGGAAGCACUCCUCCAAGGGCGUUGCCACCGACAUCUAGAACCGCUAGACGGGUGCAGUUGGUGAAAUGUCUAAGGAACUCCCAGUCCGCAUCGUCCUCAGCUUGCAGCUUGUUACCCCCCAAUUGAACGCUCUCUGGGCAGAGCUUCCCUAUCUCAGGCGGCACCUUUCCUUCGAAGCUGUUGUGAGCAAGACCAAGCUCUUGUAGUUUAGUGGCAUUGGAGAGGGAAGCCGGGAGUGUUCCAGAAAAGUUGUUCCCGAUGCCACCAAGAAGGAGCACUUGGAGGUCCGGCAGGUGCCUGCCUGCGUCUGGUGGCAGUCUACCAUGCAGCCUGUUUGAGCUGAAACCGAAGUACUGGAGAGAGGAUAUGUUGAAGAAGCGAGGCGGAAUCGUGCCGGAGAGGCUGUUCCUCGCCGCCUGGAUGUACCGGAGAUACCUCAGACGGGAAAGGCCCUCUGGGAUGGCUCCUUCCAGCUUGUUCUGAUACAGUGCCAGCCUCUGCAGCGCCGAGAGAUUGCCGAGCGAUGGCGGUACAUGCCCUGUCAGACUGUUCUCGCCGACAUACAGGACUUGUAGCCGAGACAGCAAGCCCAGACCGCUAGGGAUCCCGCCAUGAAGCUGAUUGACCUCUACGCUCAGGUACGCGAGGUUGGAGCAGUUGGCCAAGCCUUCAGGGAUCUCGCCAGCAAGAUAGUUGUACGCCAGCUCAAGGAAGCUCAGGCGACGCAGCCGUGUCAUAGUGCGCGGUAUCUCCCCUGACAGCAUGUUGUCGAAGAGAUCGAGCGACCUGAGGAAGGUGAGGUUGCCGAUGGCAGGGGAGAUGCUGCCUCCCAGGUUUCUCUGGCGCAGGCUCAGAGCAACCACCCUGCCCGCGUGCCGGCGGCUGCAUGUCACGCCGGCCCAACGGCACACGUCGGAGCUGCUGCUGUUCCAUGAGCUUAGUAGUCCCGAGCUGCCUAUCAGAGCCUCUUUGAGUGCCAGCAGUGCUUCACGGUCAUGGUGUUUUUCGUACCUGUCGAUGGAGGAGGAGGAAGACGCCGGCCGAGCUGUGAGUAGAAGCAGCGGCAGCAGCAGCAGGGUCACCAUGGAAUGCAGAGUCGCCAUGGUUUCUUUCUAGUACAAGGUGUAAGGUUUUAUUUUGAAUUCUACGGGUUUGGGGGUGGUUGGGUAGGGGGAGAACGUUUUGGUACGUUCUUCUCCUCUAACGUAAACCAAUAAAGCAAAAGCACUGUUGAAUCUAUCCUUUGGUCUUGUUUUCUUUGCAAGCACAGUUGAAUCUA